CGUAAACGAUGAGUGCUAAGUGUUAGGGGGUUCCGCCCUUUAGUGCUGCAGCUAACGCAUUAAGCACUCCGCUGGGGAGUACGACCGCAAGGUUGAAACUCAAAGGAAUUGACGGGGGCCCGCACAGCGGUGGAGCAUGUGGUUUAAUUCGAAGCAACGCGAAGAACCUUACCAGGUCUUGACAUCCUUUGAUCACUCUAGAGAUAGAGCUUUCCCUUCGGGGACAAAGUGACAGGUGGUGCAUGGUUGUCGUCAGCUCGUGUCGUGAGAUGUUGGGUUAAGUCCCGCAACGAGCGCAACCCUUAUUGUUAGUUGCCAUCAUUCAGUUGGGCACUCUAGCGAAACUGCCGGUGACAAACCGGAGGAAGGUGGGGAUGACGUCAAAUCAUCAUGCCCCUUAUGACCUGGGCUACACACGUGCUACAAUGGACAGUACAAUGAGCAGCGACACGGCGACGUGAAGCGAAUCUCAUAAAGCUGUUCUCAGUUCGGAUUGUAGGCUGCAACUCGCCUACAUGAAGCCGGAAUCGCUAGUAAUCGCGGAUCAGCACGCCGCGGUGAAUACGUUCCCGGGCCUUGUACACACCGCCCGUCACACCACGAAAGUUUGUAACACCCAAAGUCGGUGAGGUAACCUUCGGGAGCCAGCCGCCUAAGGUGGGAUAGAUGAUUGGGGUGAAGUCGUAACAAGGUAACCA
rnacentral:rRNA from 1 species